rnacentral:rRNA from 1 species
CCCCUAGAUGUUCUGGGCCGCACGCGCGCUACACUGAACAGUUCAACAAGUCUUAACCUUGGCCGAUAGGUCUGGGUAAUCUUUGAACGCUGUUCGUGAUUGGGAUAGACCUUUGCAAUUAUGGGUCUUCAACGAGGAAUUCCAAGUAAACGCAAGUCAUCAGCUUGCAUUGAUUACGUCCCUGCCCUUUGUACACACCGCCCGUCGCACCUACCGAUUGAAUGGUCCGGUGAAAUCUCGGGACGGCGGCUUGGUCGCUUGCGUCCGACUGCUGAAACUUGAUUAAACCAUAUCAUUUAGAGGAAGGUGAAGUCGUANCA